rnacentral:rRNA from 1 species
UGGGGAAUAUUGGACAAUGGGCGAAAGCCUGAUCCAGCAAUGCCGCGUGAGUGAUGAAGGCCCUAGGGUUGUAAAGCUCUUUUACCCGGGAUGAUAAUGACAGUACCGGGAGAAUAAGCCCCGGCUAACUCCGUGCCAGCAGCCGCGGUAAUACGGAGGGGGCUAGCGUUGUUCGGAAUUACUGGGCGUAAAGCGCACGUAGGCGGCUUUGUAAGUCAGAGGUGAAAGCCCGGGGCUCAACCCCGGAACUGCCUUUGAAACUAGAACGCUAGAAUCUUGGAGAGGUCAGUGGAAUUCCGAGUGUAGAGGUGAAAUUCGUAGAUAUUCGGAAGAACACCAGUGGCGAAGGCGACUGACUGGACAAGCAUUGACGCUGAGGUACGAAAGCGUGGGGAGCAAA